rnacentral:rRNA from 1 species
UGAAGAGAGGAGCUUGCUCUUCUUGGAUGAGUGCGAACGGGUGAGUAACGCGUAGGUAACCUGCCUGGUAGCGGGGGAUAACUAUUGGAAACGAUAGCUAAUACCGCAUAAAAUUGAUUAUCGCAUGAUAAUCCAUUGAAAGGUGCAAAUGCAUCACUACCAGAUGGACCUGCGUUGUAUGAGCUAGUUGGUGGGGUAACGGCUCACCAAGGCGACGAUACAUAGCCGACCUGAGAGGGUGAUCGGCCACACUGGGACUGAGACACGGCCCAGACUCCUACGGGAGGCAGCAGUAGGGAAUCUUCGGCAAUGGACGGAAGUCUGACCGAGCAACGCCGCGUGAGUGAAGAAGGUUUUCGGAUCGUAAAGCUCUGUUGUAAGAGAAGAACGAGUGUGAGAGUGGAAAGUUCACACUGUGACGGUAUCUUACCAGAAAGGGACGGCUAACUACGUGCCAGCAGCCGCGGUAAUACGUAGGUCCCGAGCGUUGUCCGGAUUUAUUGGGCGUAAAGCGAGCGCAGGCGGUUAGAUAAGUGCUGAAGUUAAAGGCUGUGGCUUAACCAUAGUACGCUUUGGUAACUGUUUAACUUGAGUGCAAGAGGGGAGAGUGGAAUUCCAUGUGUAGCGGUGAAAUGCGUAGAUAUAUGGAGGAACACCGGUGG